GCCAUUCCCUCUUCCACAGCCACUCAUUCCACUCGGAGGGAGGAUUCCGACCAGAUGAAAUCCACCGUUCAGGUCCGUCGCCGGCGGCAAGACCGGAGCUGUAUAGGGCCGUCCGUCUCCUACGCGCUUCGCCGCCCGGAGCUGUCACGGCUAGCGCCACCCGUCUCCGGCGCGCCGCCGCCAGGAGCCGCAGGGUUGGAAGGCGGUAAGGCAGGAGUCGCCGCCGCUCACCUCCGGCACGCUGCGCGGCCUGGGGCCGUUGUCUUGGCUGGAGGCAAGGUGGGAUCCGUCACGGCUAGCUCCGCUCGGCUAAGGUGCGCUGCGCCACGCUCGGCCGUGGACUUGGCCGGCGGCAAGACGGGGCCGUCGCGGCUGUUGUCGUCCGGCUCCGGCACACUCAAGGCCAGCCGAAGGUUGUGGCUGACCCGCUCCCUGUGAGAUGGUGGCAUGGUGGAACUGUAGCGCGUGCAGCCGGUGGCCGAGAUUCCGCGGGAGGUUGGACGAUCACAGUGGAAGAUGCGAACUCGAUGCAAGCUCAACAGGCAAAGGCGCAAGAACAUACCUGCGGACGAUGAAGUGGCAGGAGCUCCGUCCAUGCUGAAGAACACGGUAGAUGUUGAUCCACGGAGAGGACAAUUUCCUAUCAAUCUUGAUCUAUAUAUUUUCCUUUGAUCCAGGGGCAACAAUUAACAAUGGAACAGAUUGGUAUGAGAGUAUGGAUGAAGCCACGAAGAGAUUUUGGCGGCAAUCUGUUGUUACGCGGGAGAGAAACAUGUGGUUUUGCUGAUUUUCUGGAAGCUAACUGCAAUUGGAGA